rnacentral:rRNA from 1 species
GAGUUUGAUCAUGGCUCAGAUUGAACGCUGGCGGCAUGCCUUACACAUGCAAGUCGAACGGCAGCAUGAUCUAGCUUGCUAGAUUGAUGGCGAGUGGCGAACGGGUGAGUAAUACAUCGGAACGUGCCCUGUAGUGGGGGAUAACUAGUCGAAAGAUUAGCUAAUACCGCAUACGACCUGAGGGUGAAAGUGGGGGACCGCAAGGCCUCAUGCUAUAGGAGCGGCCGAUGUCUGAUUAGCUAGUUGGUGGGGUAAAGGCCCACCAAGGCGACGAUCAGUAGCUGGUCUGAGAGGACGAUCAGCCACACUGGGACUGAGACACGGCCCAGACGUCCUACGGGAGGCAGCAGUGGGGAAUUUUGGACAAUGGGCGAAAGCCUGAUCCAGCAAUGCCGCGUGUGUGAAGAAGGCCU